UUCCAGCACCACACUUUUUGCAACAGCCUAUUAAGCACAAGUUAGCUGUGUGAUUCAGUAUCCUGCACUCUCCUGGAUGACUGCAGCUCCAACAACACUUUAAAAGCUCAACACCAUCCAGGUCAAAGUUGUCCACUUGAUUGGUACCCCAUCCACUAUACUUAGAGUUCUAAAAUGUUUCUUCACUGACGCUGGGAAAGAAAUCCUGGAACUCUCUCCCUCAUUGCAAUGUGCGUGUAUCCACACUAACUGUACUGCAGUGGGACAGGAUGACAGCUCACCAUCACCAUCUGGGGCAAUCAGAGAUGGGUUCCAUAUUUAAGCAUGAAGAAAAGGUGGGACUGUAAUUAAGAACACGAGCCAGAACAUUAAGAGAGUCAAGCCUGAGCUGAAGAGCAAGAAUAAAGUGUGUCUUGAAUAAAGUCGAGUCAUAUAACUAAUUGAACUACAUCUGGAACACAGCACCUUACACUUGCCUUUAAAUAAAAGUUAGGAUCCAGGCUAUCUCCUUGACAUAUUUGAAGGGGUUUGCCACUUGGUCCAGAACAAGUGGCAACAGGGCACCAGCAUGACCCUGGGGGAAAUCUGGCAUUGACAAAACAUGACAGAUUAUCAUGCUUCUGAAGAGCAAUAAGAAAUGAUGCUGCAUCGAGAAAUUGGAGAGAGAAUCGUAAAAUUCUUCCUGCUACCUCAGACGGUUGAUGGAAAUCUACCCCAAAGUUUCUUUAUAAUAUUAAACCCAAUUUGCCAACAUAAAGUUGUUUUGUUAAAUAUGUAGUGAACCCCACCAUGGCUUCUUAGCUUGACAGUAACCAGAAGUGCUUUCAGAUUUUGUACAAUCAAAUAAUUUACUAGGUUUUUUUUACAAAUUGGCCUGCUAUGGGUGGGUAUUGGUAGUGCCCUUCCUCUAG